rnacentral:rRNA from 1 species
AACGCGAAGAACCUUACCUACCCUUGACAUCCUCGGAAUCUGCUCGAGAGAGUGGAGUGCCUUCGGGAGCCGAGAGACAGGUGCUGCAUGGCUGUCGUCAGCUCGUGUCGUGAGAUGUUGGGUUAAGUCCCGUAACGAGCGCAACCCUUGUCCUUAGUUGCUAACAGGUAAAGCUGAGAACUCUAAGGAGACUGCCGGUGAUAAACCGGAGGAAGGUGGGGAUGACGUCAAGUCCUCAUGGCCCUCACGGGUAGGGCUACACACGUGCUACAAUGGGCAGUACAAAGAGAAGCAAAGCCGCGAGGUGAAGCGAAUCUCAUCAAAGCUGCUCGUAGUCCGGAUUGGAGUCUGCAACUCGACUCCAUGAAGUUGGAAUCGCUAGUAAUCGUGGAUCAGAACGCCACGGUGAAUACGUUCCCGGGCCUUGUACACACCGCUCGCGA